AAGAAUGUGUAUCUUAUCAUUAUACUUUGGUAGACUCGGUACAUUGUUUACAUGUAAUUCUCAUCUUUAACAAAGCAUAUAAAGCAGUGCAUGCAUCUCAGAAAUGUCCAUAUACAUUUAUUUAUUUAAUAUUGCAGGUCAUCACCACCAAAGCAGGUGAAAGAAAUCUACGCUGGGGGAUUUGUGGUCUUCUUUUCAAUCUGAGUGACCCUUCAGGUCGUGUUCAUUUCUCCAGGACCGGUCAUGUAAGCCACUCAAAAAAAGAUGUUUGGUAUCUUAAACAUUUCGACAAGAAUGUUUUCAAAUUAUUUAACUAAAAUAAGAAACAGAUACUCUGCUGACAAAGUUUUUUCAAGUUGUGAAUGUGAAACUACAAAUGUGAUGUUUGCUUUGUCUUACAGGACCGUUACUGAUGGUGAGAGUGGCACAAGCUACCUGGCAUGGAAGAUUAAAAAUUAUUCAGGGAUCUGAAGCAGGACGCAGAUGAGCAUCACACAGAGGUUGGAACAAACAUUGUGGAAUACCUCCAGGGGGUGGAGUCCAGGCCCUAUCCGUCUGUUCUGACCCUUGGACAAGUGACGCAAAAUUGUUCACAAGCUUUUUCUGUGAUGGCUGGUCAGGGAUACCCUGAAGAUGCACUGGGGCAGUUGGUGUCUGCUUCAAGACAUUUUAUGUUUGAUAUCAACUACCCCAUGCAGUGUGCCUCUUCAUGGGAGUUCCUCCAGAAAGUGGUUUAUGACAUGGAGGGACCAGAAUCUAACAAAGUUAAGUUUUUAAAGACUGUCUUAAAGAAUGUCAAAGUGUUUAAAAAAAAUCUGAGUUCAUAAUAGUUUCUGAAAAAAAAAAACAUUCAUUUGUUACAGAUGCUUUUUCUUCUACUUGCAGAAAAAUUGCUAACUACUACUUGUUACUGCUGCUUUUUUGAGAAAGCAUUUGUCUUCUGUAUUUUAUUGGUACCCCUUUAAAUGGUUUGUUCAUUUAACCCAAAACUUGGGUUUGUGGAAUUAACCCAUGAUUAUGAGUCAAAUAAACUCAAGAGUUGGGUUCACUAGACCUUUAAAUUGGGUUGUUAAUUUAACCCAAUAUUUGGGUUGGUGGAAGCAACCCAAAUUUCUGAGUUAAAAUAACCCAACAGAAAGUUAGUCCCUUUUCAACCCCUGGAGUUGGGUUAAAAAUAACCCAAGUUGGGUUAUUUUUAACCACUGAGUUUUUAGUGUGUGGAUUUCCUUUUUCCACUCUACAACAAUUAAGAAAAAAAUACAGAAAACAUGGUCAGGAAAGCUGUAAUUUACCACAUCAAAACAAAAAAAAAAACAAAAAACAAUACAGUGAGGGAAUAAUUUUCUGAGCAAUCCAUAAAAUAUUGACCAAAAACUUCUUACUACCAUCUCAACAUACCUUAUUCCACAGAUAAAUCAAGGAAUUGCAAAAAAAAAAACCCAAAAAUAAAUAAAUAAAUAAGAUGGAUUUUAUACUUCUCUUUAAACU